CCUACGGGCGGCAGCAGUGGGGGAUAUUGCACAAUGGGCGAAAGCCUGAUGCAGCGACGCCGCGUGCGGGAAGACGGUCUUCGGAUUGUAAACCUCUGUCUUGGGGGAAGAAAAUGACGGUACCCAAAGAGGAAGCUCCGGCUAACUACGGGCCAGCAGCCGCGGAAAUACGUAGGGAGCAAGCUUUGUCCGGAAUUACUGGGUGAAAGGGGAGCGUAGGCGGGAUGGCAAGUAGAUUGUUAAAUCCAUGGGCUCAACCGGUGGUUGCAUUCUAAACUGCCGUUCUUGAGUGAAGUAGAGGCAGCCGGAAUUCAUAGUGUAGCGGUGAAAUGCGUAGAUAUUAGGAGGAACACCAGUGGCGAAGGCGACCUGCUGGGCUUUAACUGACGCUGAGGCUCGAAAGCGUGGGGAGCAAACAGGAUUAGAUACCCGUGUAGUC
rnacentral:rRNA from 1 species